GAGUUCAUGCCCUCACGGGUAGACCUCCCACCCUUGAAUAUACUACCUUCGUUGCUUUGGCGAGCCGCUUCGGCUACCGACCUUGGUUGGUACGCGCUCGCCGGAGAACACCAAACUCUGUCAUUUAUGUCGUCUGAUUACUAUUUAAUAGUUAAAACUUUCAACAACGGAUCUCUUGGUUCU
rnacentral:misc_RNA from 1 species